UAAAUAGAAAUUAAUCUUUAGGUGAAGAAGCCUAAAUUUAUUCAUAGGACGAAAAGACCCUGUCGAGCUUUAAAUUUUUAUUUUAAUUUUUUUCUUUUGUAGAAGAAUUGUUUUUAUUUAUUUUGUUUGUUGGGGUGACAGAAGAACAUUAAAAGCUUCUUCUAAUUGAAUUAAACUUUUUAGUUUGUUGAUCUUCUAAUGGAAAAAAAAAGAAUAGUUACCGCAGGGAUAACAGCGUAAUUUUUUUGGAAAGUUCAAAUUAAAAAAAAAGUUUGCGACCUCGAUGUUGGAUUAGAAUUCCUAAUAAGUGCAGAAGCUUAUUUGUGGAGGUCUGUUCGCCCUUUA
rnacentral:rRNA from 1 species